rnacentral:rRNA from 1 species
ACAUGCAAGUCGAACGCACUGGCCCAACAGAUUAAAAGUGCUUGCACUUUUAUGAAGAUGGUUUACCAGUGAGUGGCGGACAGGUGAGUAACACGUGGGUAACCUGCCCUGAAGCGGGGGAUAACAUUUGGAAACAGGUGCUAAUACCGCAUAACUACGAAAACCGCAUGGUUUUCGCCUCAAAGAUGGUUUCGGCUAUCACUUCAGGAUGGACCCGCGGUGCAUUAACUAGUUGGUAGGGUAACGGCCUACCAAGGUGAUGAUGCAUAGCCGAGUUGAGAGACUGAUUGGCCACAAUGGAACUGAGACACGGUCCAUACUCCUACGGGAGGCAGCAGUAGGGAAUCUUCCACAAUGGGCGCAAGCCUGAUGGAGCGACACCGCGUGAGUGAAGAAGGGUUUCGGCUCGUAAAGCUCUGUUGUUGGAGAAGAACGUGCGUGAGAGUAACUGUUCAUGCAGUGACGGUAUCCAACCAGAAAGUCACGGCUAACUACGUG